rnacentral:rRNA from 1 species
CCCGCUGAACUUAAGCAUAUCAAUAAGCGGAGGAAAAGAAACUAACAAGGAUUCCCCUAGUAACUGCGAGUGAAGCGGGAAAAGCUCAAAUUUAAAAUCUUGCAGGGGAACCCUCUGCACGAGUUGUAGUUUCAAGAAGUGUUUUCGGUGCGCGCCUGGGUAUAAGUCCUUUGGGAUAGGGCAUCAUAGAGGGUGAGAAUCCCGUUUAUGACCCGGAGCUGCGUACUAUGUGAUACACUUUCGAAGAGUCAGGUUGUUUGGGAAUGCAGCCUAAAAUGGGUGGUAAAUCUCAUCUAAAGCUAAAUAUUGGCGAGAGACCGAUAGCGAACAAGUACCGUGAGGGAAAGAUGAAAAGAACUUUGAAAAGAGAGUGAAACAGUACGUGAAAUUGUUGAAAGGGAAACGUUUGAAAUCAGUCUUGCGGGCGUGGUAAUCAGCUUGGCCUCUUCCGGCCUUGUGCACUUUCCCGUCUCGCAGGUCAGCGUCAGUUUCAGCCGUCGGAUAAAGCCCAAGGGAAUGUGGCCCCUUCGGGGGCGUUAAGCCCUGGUCAAUACGGCGGCCGGGACUGAGGUCUGCAGUCGAUGCCUUCACGGCUGGGGAAUCCGCCGCUCAUGUCGCACCCAGGCGUAGACAGCUUGCUGGCUAUGUUUGACUUGCGCGUGACACGGCGGCCUACCACACAUCGGCUUAGGUCGCUGACGAAAUGAUUUCAAAUGACCCGUCUUGAAACACGG